CAUAUUUCACUGAUGCCUCAUCUAAAUAAGAGGUUUUACAAGUAUUCCCCUCCUAUGUACUAUCUUUAUAUGUAUUAAGGACAAAGAAUUUACUUUAAGUGGGGAUGGGCGUACUUGUACCACGGGGGUUUUUGUUGCCUAUGUUCUUUUCAUUUUGUGUGCUAUCUAGUAGAACUGGCCAUGUCUAGGAUUGCAUUUUAUUUUCUUAGGUAUGAUGUAAAUAUCCAUUUAUUAAUGUUUAUUUAUGAAGUGUCUUUUAUUUUAGCAUCUUGUUGUAUAUAUGGA
rnacentral:lncRNA from 1 species